rnacentral:rRNA from 1 species
CAGCCGCCGCGGGAACACGAAGGGUGCAAGCGUUACUCGGAAUUACUGGGCGUAAAGCGUGCGUAGGUGGUGGUUUAAGUCCGUUGUGAAAGCCCUGGGCUCAACCUGGGAAUUGCAGUGGAUACUGGGUCACUAGAGUGUGGUAGAGGAUAGUGGAAUUUCCGGUGUAGCAGUAAAAUGCGUAGAGAUCGGAAGGAACAUCUGUGGCGAAGGCGACUAUCUGGGCCAACACUGACACUGAGGCACGAAAGCGUGGGGAGCAAACAGGAUUAGAUACCCCAGUAGUCCCUGUCUCUUAUAC